UCUACAAAUAAGACAUAGAAUUUUUGUCCCUUUUGAUUAAGAUAUUUCUGAAUAAUAGAAUGUAAAACAAAUAUGUUAUCAAUAGUAGUGUAUCCCUUCCUAAAGCCAACUUGUGAUUCUGUUAUCUUGUCUAGAGUAUCUGCCCAUUUAACUAACCUCUUAUUUAUGGUAGAUGUAAAUAUUUUGCUAAAUAUGCUUAAUAACGUUAUGCCCCUAUAAUUUUCAGGAUUGUUUACGUAAACAAUAUCUUCUC